rnacentral:rRNA from 1 species
GACGAUGAGGCGCGAGCGUUGUCCGGAUUUAUUGGGCGUAAAGAGCUCGUAGGCGGCUUGUCGCGUCGACUGUGAAAUCCCGCGGCUCAACUGCGGGUCUGCAGUCGAUACGGGCAGGCUAGAGUUCGGUAGGGGAGACUGGAAUUCCUGGUGUAGCGGUGAAAUGCGCAGAUAUCAGGAGGAACACCGGUGGCGAAGGCGGGUUGCUGGGCCGAUAUCGACGCUGAGGAGCGAAAGCGUGGGGAGCGAACAGG